GAAAUGAAUCAUGCCAUUUUGGCCAGUAUUGAAACUCACUUGUCUGAAACUUCUUCCAAGACCUUGCAUGUGAAGGACAUUCUUGAAGAUUUGUCAAAAAAAAAUUGACAGUGGAAUGAACUGCAAAUUUAAUGUCAAUCGUUCUGCAGUUUUAGAUGGUGCCAUACGUGGAUUUAAGAGGGUAACAUACAAUCCACAUUUCUCAAUGAAUGUGAAAUUUUCUGAUGAUUUCGGAAGAAAUGAAGAGGCAGUUGAUUUGGGUGGCCCACGGAGAGAAUUUCUGCGUCUUCUCAUUGAUGCUUUGUCCAUGUCUCCAAUGUUUGAAGGCCCAGAUGAUUGCAAAAAUUUAGCAAUGAAUAGUACAGCCCUCAGGGAGGACAAAUACUUUAUGGCUGGAAGGGCAAUAGCUGUUAGCCUUGUCCAUGGAGGUCCAGCCCCACAUUUCCUUUCUCCAGUCCUUUUCACUUGCUUGGUUGGAGGUCCAAAUGCAGCUUGCCCUACUUUGAAGGACAUCACUGAUGCAGAACUCCAUGAGAAACUGAAAAAAGUUAAUCCACUCACAAAUUAUAUAACUUUUGACUUGA